rnacentral:ncRNA from 1 species
GAAUGUCACGGGGGCCCUGAAGCAUUUACUUUGAAAAAAUUAGAGUGUUCCAAGCAGGCCACGUCGCCUGGAUACUUCAGCUAGAAAUAAUGGAAUAGGACUGUGGUUCUAUUUUGUUGGUUUUCGGAACUGGGACCAUGAUUGAGAGGGAUGGCCGGGGGCAUUCGUAUUGUGCCGCAAGAGGUGAAAUUCUUGGACCGACACAAGACGAACCAAAGCAAAAGUAUUUGCCAAGAAUGUUUUCAUU